rnacentral:rRNA from 1 species
GAUGAACGCUGGCGGCGUGCCUAAUACAUGCAAGUCGAGCGAACAGACGAGGAGCUUGCUCCUCUGACGUUAGCGGCGGACGGGUGAGUAACACGUGGAUAACCUACCUAUAAGACUGGGAUAACUUCGGGACACCGGAGCUAAUACCGGAUAAUAUAUUGCACCGCAUGGUUCAAUAGUGAAAUACGGCUUUGCUGUCACUUAUAGAUGGAUCCGCGCCGCAUUAGCUAGUUGGUAAGGUAACGGCCUAUCAAGGCGACGAUGCGUAGCCGACCUGAGAGGGGGGUAGGCCGCACGAGAGGGGGAACGGGGACAAGAGGACUGAGAGACGGAGCAGAAGGGUAUGGGACGCAGUAGGGGGGAACAUGGCAGAACGGGGGGGAGUGAGAGGUAGAAAUGUUGGGAGCGGGAAACUGUGUUAUUGGGGGAGAACAGAUGUGGAAGUAGAUAUGCAGGGAGUGACGGUAACGGGUAAGAAAGCAACGGCUAACUACGUG